UACGUAGGGGGCAAGCGUUGUCCGGAUUUAUUGGGCGUAAAGAGCGUGUAGGCGGCCAGACAAGUCUGCUGUGAAAACUCGAGGCUCAACCUCGAGCUGUCGGUGGAAACUGUCUGGCUAGAGUCCGGAAGAGGAGAGUGGAAUUCCUGGUGUAGCGGUGAAAUGCGCAGAUAUCAGGAAGAACACCUAUGGCGAAGGCAGCUCUCUGGGACGGUACUGACGCCGAGACGCGAAAGCGUGGGGAGCGAACAGG
rnacentral:rRNA from 1 species